CGAACAAGAGCUCUGAGCAUUGGCAUAUUUUAGUGAAUGGUCGCGCAGAGUGAAUGGUCCUGGGUGUUGUUCAAC
rnacentral:pre_miRNA from 1 species